UGUUAACUGAAAAAGAACUGGCGUUUUCACGUUACUGUCGUCCCAUUCAGAACGUAUCGCUUCAGUCUGGGUCUGCGGUAAUGCUAAUUAUUCCUAAGGAUGUAAACUACAGAGUCAGACACGACUGAGCGACUAACCCACACACACACAUAAACUCCAGCACAUAGAUACUUGCUAUUCUUAUCCUUGAGUGUUCCUUGGUUUCUGCUGCCGUUACAAAUGGGAUUUCUUCCUAUUCAUUUUCUAACGAUAAUGUCAAUAUGAAAUUUUUUUUUGCAUAAAUUUGCCUCGUGUCCAGUCAUCUUGCUGAAUUUUCUUAGUCUAAUACUUUUCUUUGACAAUAUUCUUAUCCUCAGUUCCUCUUGCUUUGCUGCUUUGAUUGAAAUAUCUGAGGUGAUGUUACAUAAAUGGGCUUCUCUCGCCAUCAGUGUUUCCUCAUUUAAGAUUAUAUUUGUUGCUGCUUUCUGGAAGAUACUCUUCUUAUAGUCUUUAAGUUCUCUUUUAUUUCUGUUGACCCCUGCCUUGUGAUUAGGAAAUAUGAGGUUACCAGAUAUGUUUUGGGUGUGCGGUGAUCAGAUCCCAGGACUGUUCUAGAAGGCGGGGUGUGCUGAGUGGCGUUGAUGGGUCGCUCAGGGAGAAAGCUGCUUGCAUGCUCUGGAUCACAGUGUGCGCUCUGAGCAUGUCACGCUGGGUCCAGCCUGCUCACGGCUCCCUGGGUGUGUCUCAGGGAAGGAACGUUCCUACGGGAUGGGGGUGGCGGGGACCUUUAUUAGGCUGUUUGUGAAGGUUUUAUGACAUGAUUGGUGCCCUAUUCUUCUCUGUUCUGGAACAGUUUGUGUAAGGAGGGAUUGUGUAAGUGUCCCUGGAUAUCUGGUAAAGUCAGGUGAGAAGCUGUCUGGCUUUGGCAGCUCUUCACCUUCAUCUGAUGGACAGUCUUUGCUGUGUGCUUCACGGGAUCACAGGGCUGUCAGGCUGCCCACUCGGGCUCACUCCCACCUGGAGGGUGAGUCUCCACAGCGUCGUUAAUGUCAUCCACACCGACAGAAGGGUGGUCUGGUGGAUCAGAGGAGGAGCAGAAAGACGAUAGCAGGCUCCGGAGACCCACGCAGCCUGGGUCUUCCUCCACAGCCUCAGUCUUUCCGGCUGGGAAAUGGGGAAACGGCCUCUGCUUCACCAGCUGGUGAGGAUUUUAUUGGUUAAGGCCUGGAACAGACUUCAAGGGCACUUGGCUCCCGGAAAGAUGUUAGGUAUGUUAUAUAUAAUGUGACAAAGUGCCACAAACCUGGAGGCUUAGACAACAGAAGGCUCGUCUCCAGUUCCGGAGCCCAGAUGUCUGACAGAAGGUGCCCGAGGGCUGCUGCCCUGUGGGGACUGAGGGGAGGCUCUGUCCUCGGCUUGUAAACCUCCGCCCUCACCCUCACGGCGUUCUCCCUGGGCGUGUGCACCUGUCUCUGUGUCCAACUCUGCCCUUUUUUAUAAGAACACAGAGAUCUGG
rnacentral:lncRNA from 1 species